rnacentral:rRNA from 1 species
UACGGAGGGAGCUAGCGUUGUUCGGAAUUACUGGGCGUAAAGGGCUCGUAGGCGGCCAACUAAGUCAGACGUGAAAUCCCUCGGCUUAACCGGGGAACUGCGCCUGAUACUGGAUGGCUUGAGUUUGGGAGAGGGAUGCGGAAUUCCAGGUGUAGCGGUGAAAUGCGUAGAUAUCUGGAGGAACACCGGUGGCGAAGGCGGCAUCCUGGACCAACACUGACGCUGAGUGAGCGAAAGCCAAGGGAGCAAACAGG